rnacentral:rRNA from 1 species
AACGAACGCUGGCGGCAGGCCUAACACAUGCAAGUCGAGCGAGCAUUUCGGUGCUAGCGGCGGACGGGUGAGUAACGCGUGGGAACGUGCCCUUUUCUGCGGAAUAGUCCUGGGAAACUGGGGGUAAUACCGCAUACGCCCUUUUGGGGAAAGAUUUAUCGGAGAAGGAUCGGCCCUCGUUGGAUUAGGUAGUUGGUGGGGUAAUGGCCCACCAAGCCGACGAUCCAUAGCUGGUUUGAGAGGAUGAUCAGCCACACUGGGACUGAGACACGGCCCAGACUCCUACGGGAGGCAGCAGUGGGGAAUCUUAGACAAUGGGGGCAACCCUGAUCUAGCCAUGCCGCGUGAGUGAUGAAGGCCUUAGGGUUGUAAAGCUCUUUCAGCUGGGAAGAUAAUGACGGUACCAGCAGAAGAAGCCCCGGCUAACUCCGUG